CCUACGGGAGGCUGCAGUGGGGAAUAUUGGGCAAUGGGCGCAAGCCUGACCCAGCAACGCCGCGUGAAGGAAGAAGGCCCUCGGGUUGUAAACUUCUUUUAUCAGGGACGAAGCAUGUGACGGUACCUGAUGAAUAAGCCACGUCUAACUACGUGCCAGCAGCCGCGGCAAUACGGAGGCGGCAAGCGUUAUCCGGAUUUACUGGGUGUAAAGGGCGUGUAGGCGGGAAAGCAAGUCAGAUGUGAAAACCAGGGGCUCAACCUGUGGACUGCAUUUGACACUGUUUUUCUUGAGUACUGGAGAGGCAGACGGAAUUCGUGGUGUAGCGGUGAAAUGCGUAGAUAUUAGGAAGAACACCAGUUGCGAAGGCGGUCUGCUGGACAGCAACUGACGCUGAGGCGCGAAAGCGUGGGGAGCAAACAGGAUUAGAUACCCCUGUAGUC
rnacentral:rRNA from 1 species